CUUUUGGUUACCAAUCAG
rnacentral:snRNA from 1 species